CUUUUGGUAGCUCAAAUGGUUAAGUGCUUGACUACUAGUCAAAAGGUUGGUGGUUUGAACCCACCCAGAAGC
rnacentral:tRNA from 1 species